UAAUACGAAGGGUGCAAGCGUUACUCGGAAUUACUGGGCGUAAAGCGUGCGUAGGUGGUUUGUUAAGUCUGAUGUGAAAGCCCUGGGCUCAACCUGGGAAUGGCAUUGGAAACUGGCUUACUAGAGUGCGGUAGAGGGUAGCGGAAUUCCCGGUGUAGCAGUGAAAUGCGUAGAUAUCGGGAGGAACAUCCGUGGCGAAGGCGGCUACCUGGACCAGCACUGACACUGAGGCACGAAAGCGUGGGGAGCAAACAGGA
rnacentral:rRNA from 1 species